GACAGAGGGUGCAAACGUUGCUCGGAAUCACUGGGCGUAAAGGGCGCGUAGGCGGUGCGGUAAGUCUGUAGUGAAAUCUCUGGGCUCAACUCAGAGUCUGCUGCAGAAACUGCCGUGCUUGAGUGUGGGAGAGGUGAGUGGAAUUCCCGGUGUAGCGGUGAAAUGCGUAGAUAUCGUAAGGAGACCAGUGGCGAAGGCGGGUCUCUGGACAGUUCCUGACGCUGAGGCACGAAGGUCAGGGGAGCAAACGGG
rnacentral:rRNA from 1 species